rnacentral:rRNA from 1 species
AUUGAACGCUGGCGGCAUGCCUUACACAUGCAAGUCGAACGGUAACAGGUCUUCGGAUGCUGACGAGUGGCGAACGGGUGAGUAAUACAUCGGAACGUGCCUAGUAGUGGGGGAUAACUACUCGAAAGAGUGGCUAAUACCGCAUGAGAUCUACGGAUGAAAGCAGGGGAUCGCAAGACCUUGUGCUACUAGAGCGGCCGAUGGCAGAUUAGGUAGUUGGUGGGAUAAAAGCGUACCAAGCCGACGAUCUGUAGCUGGUAUGAGAGGACGAUCAGCCACCCGGGGACUGAGACACGGCGCAGACUCCUACGGGAGGCAGCAGUGGGGAAUUUUGGACAAUGGGCGCAAGCCUGAUCCAGCAAUGCCGCGUGCAGGAUGAAGGCCUUCGGGUUGUAAACUGCUUUUGUACGGAACGAAAAGCCCUGGGUUAAUACCCUGGGGUCAUGACGGUACCGUAAGAAUAAGCACCGGCUAACUACGUGCCAGCCGCCGCCGUAAUAC